rnacentral:rRNA from 1 species
AACGAACGCUGGCGGCAUGCCUAACACAUGCAAGUCGAACGAGACCUUCGGGUCUUGUGGCGCACGGGUGCGUAACGCGUGGGAACCUGCCCUUAGGUUCGGAAUAACUCCCCGAAAGGGGUGCUAAUACCGGAUAAUGUCUUCGGACCAAAGAUUUAUCGCCUUUGGAUGGGCCCGCGUUGGCUUAGCUGGUUGGUAGGGUAAAAGCCUACCAAGGCGACGAUCCAUAGCUGGUCUGCGAGGAGGAUCAGCCACACUGGGACUGAGACACGGCCCAGACUCCUACGCGAGGCAGCAGUGGGGAAUAUUGGACAAUGGGCGAAAGCCUGAUCCAGCAAUGCCGCGUGAGUGAUGAAGGCCUUAGGGUUGUAAUGCUCUUUUACCCGGGAUGAUAAUGACAGUACCGGGAGAAUAAGCUCCGGCUAACUCCGUG